UCCGUUUUGUCAACGGCAGUCUCUCUAGAGUGCCCAACUUAAUGCUGGCAACUAAAGAUAAGGGUUGCGCUCGUUGCGGGACUUAACCCGACAUGUCACCACACGAGCUGACGACAGCCAUGCAGCACCUGUCAUCCGGUCGUAUUGCUACGAAAGACGUAUCUCUACGUUUGUCCGGAGAUGUCAAACCCAGGUAAGGUUUUUCGCGUUGCUUCGAAUUAAACCACAUGAUCCACCGCUUGUGCGGGCCCCCGUCAAUUCCUUUGAGUUUUAGUCUUGCGACCGUACUUCCCAGGCGGGGAACUUAUCGCGUUAGCUCCGGUUCGGCAGGGGUCAAGACCCGCCAAACCUAGUUCCCAUCGUUUACAGCGUGGACUAC
rnacentral:misc_RNA from 1 species